GAUGAACGCUGGCGGCGUGCCUAAUACAUGCAAGUCGAGCGAACAGACGAGGAGCUUGCUCCUCUGACGUUAGCGGCGGACGGGUGAGUAACAUGUGGAUAACCUACCUAUAAGACUGGGAUAACUUCGGGAAACCGGAGCUAAUACCGGAUAAUAUAUUGAACCGCAUGGUUCAAUAGUGAAAGACGGUUUUGCUGUCACUUAUAGAUGGAUCCGCGCCGCAUUAGCUAGUUGGUAAGGUAACGGCUUACCAAGGCAACGAUGCGUAGCCGACCUGAGAGGGUGGUCGGCCACACUGGAAGUGAGACAGGGUCCAGACUCCUACGGGAAGCAGCAGUAGGGAAUCUUCCGCAAUGGGCGAAAGCCUGACAGAGCAACGCCGCGUGAGUGAUGAAGGUCUUCGGAUCGUAAAGCUCUGUUAUUAGUGGAGAACAAAUGUGUAAGUAACUAUGCACGUCUUGACGGUACCUAAUCAGAAAGCCACGGCUAACUACGUG
rnacentral:rRNA from 1 species